rnacentral:rRNA from 1 species
CACGUAGGGGGCAAGCGUUGUCCGGAUUUAUUGGGCGUAAAGAGCUCGUAGGCGGUUCGGUAAGUUGGGUGUGAAACCUCCAGGCUCAACCUGGAGACGCCACCCGAUACUGCUGUGACUAGAGUCCGGUAGGGGAGCGUGGAAUUCCUGGUGUAGCGGUGAAAUGCGCAGAUAUCAGGAGGAACACCAGCGGCGAAGGCGGCGCUCUGGGCCGGAAUUGACGCUGAGGAGCGAAAGCGUGGGUAGCAAACAGG